GAUGUUGGCCCUCCAUGAACAGGACAACCAUGAAAAAUUAAUCAUUGUAAUGGUGACCAAUUUUACAAUAUUAAUGGUAAUGCUAACGAGUAUAAAUAAAUGCAUUUCUGAUUUAAUGGAAUACUAAUUGCUUACAAGACUGCUUUAUAGUCUACCACCAAGGGCCAAGUCUCCAUACUUCAACAGUUUACACUCCCAGAGUGGCCACACACUGGCUAAAAAACGAAAUUGCAAAAGCAGUCUGACAUCUGAAAAAAAGUGUCAAACACACACAAAAAAGUCCCCCAGAUGCUUCAGGCACACUGCUGGGCCACAGUCAGAGCUGAAUUCCUCUGCUGAAGGGGACUGAGACCUACAGCCGGCUUACAGACAGCACAGAAAGAAAGAGACAAACGGACAGCUUUGCCAAACAGAUGAGAGAUGGCCAUGAUGGAAAAGUCCAAGGGAGAGAAAUAAGACAGGUCACUUUGGAGCUCCCGAGUGGGGAGACAGAAGAAACAGAGAGAGACUACUUCUGAAGUUGUUGACCCAAUGACACCUGCUUCCACUUUUUAUCGCAAUAUAAUUGCGCUGUCAAAUAAUUUCCCUGAUGUGAUGUGUGAAUGCUUAAUUACAAAAAUAUAUAA